rnacentral:rRNA from 1 species
UACGGAGGGUGCGAGCGUUGUCCGGAAUUACUGGGCGUAAAGGGCUCGUAGGCGGCCAACUAAGUCAGACGUGAAAUCCCUCGGCUUAACCGGGGAACUGCGUCUGAUACUGGAUGGCUUGAGAUUGGGAGAGGGAUGCGGAAUUCCAGGUGUAGCGGUGAAAUGCGUAGAUAUCUGGAGGAACACCGGUGGCGAAGGCGGCAUCCUGGACCAACACUGACGCUGAGGAGCGAAAGCCAGGGGAGCAAACGGG